UCCCAUAAACCGUGGCUCAGUUCAGAUCGUAGGCUGCAACUCGCCUACGUGAAGGCGGAAUCGCUAGUAAUCGCAGGUCAGCAUACUGCGGUGAAUACGUUCCCGGGCCUUGUACGCACCGCCCGUCACACCAUGGAAGUUGGCCACGCCCGAAGCCGUUACUCCAACCCUUGUGGAGGAGGACGUCGAAGGUGGGGCUGAUGACUGGGGUGAAGUCGUAACAAGGUAUCCGUACCGGAAGGUGCGGAUGGAUCACCUCCUAA
rnacentral:rRNA from 1 species